rnacentral:rRNA from 1 species
CCCGGACCUUGUACACACCGCCCGUCAAGCGAUGGAAGCUGGGAGGACCUGAAGACAGUUGCUGUAAGGCGCUGUUUAGGGUAAAACCAGUGACUGGCGCU